rnacentral:rRNA from 1 species
UAUUGGACAAUGGGGGCAACCCUGAUCCAGCCAUGCCGCGUGUGUGAAGAAGGCCUUUUGGUUGUAAAGCACUUUAAGCAGUGAAGAAGACUCUAUGGUUAAUACCCAUAGACGAUGACAUUAGCUGCAGAAUAAACACCGGCUAACUCUGUGCCAGCAGCCGCGGUAAUACAGAGGGUGCAAGCGUUAAUCGGAAUUACUGGGCGUAAAGCGAGCGUAGAUGCGUUAAUAAAUCAGAUGUGAAAUCCCCGGGCUUAACCUGGGAACUGCAUCUGAUACUGUUGGGCUAGAGUAGGUGAGAGGGAGAUAGAAUUUCAGGUGUAGCGGUGAAAUGCGUAGAGAUCUGAGGGAAUACCGAUGGCGAAGGCAGCCUCCUGGCAUCAUACUGACACUGAGGUUCGAAAGCGUGGGUAGCAAACAG